rnacentral:rRNA from 1 species
GGAAUUAUUGGGCGUAAAGCGCGCGCAGGUGGUUUCUUAAGUCUGAUGUGAAAGCCCACGGCUCAACCGUGGAGGGUCAUUGGAAACUGGGAGACUUGAGUGCAGAAGAGGAAAGUGGAAUUCCAUGUGUAGCGGUGAAAUGCGUAGAGAUAUGGAGGAACACCAGUGGCGAAGGCGACUUUCUGGUCUGUAACUGACACUGAGGCGCGAAAGCGUGGGGAGCAAACAGGAUUAGAUACCCUGGUAGUCCACGCCGUAAACGAUGAGUGCUAAGUGUUAGAGGGUUUCCGCCCUUUAGUGCUGAAGUUAACGCAUUAAGCACUCCGCCUGGGGAGUACGGCCGCAAGGCUGAAACUCAAAGGAAUUGACGGGGGCCCGCACAAGCGGUGGAGCAUGUGGUUUAAUU